rnacentral:lncRNA from 1 species
AAUAUGGAUCAAACAAUCAAAGGUCUAGUGACUCUAGUCUGGUAUUAAAGUACAUCUGACGUUAUUAAAUAAAAUUAAUAAGGUAAAAAUAUAUAAGAAUAUAUUUUUGCAUUCUCCAAUGAGAUCGUACAAAAUAUAUAGUAACGAACUCAUCGCGAUACCAGAAACGUAAUAUUACGUACGAAAACAAACAUAGUAUUUUUCUAUCAUACUUUCUAACUGCAUAUAACGCAAUCUGUCCUCAAUUUCAAACAAAAUCUAAAUUCUAAU